rnacentral:rRNA from 1 species
GACGAACGCUGGCGGCGUGCUUAACACAUGCAAGUCGAACGGUGAAGCGCCUUCCUUUUUGGUGGGUGUGGAUGAGUGGCGAACGGGUGAGUAACACGUGAGUAACCUGCCCCCUUCUUCUGGAUAACCGCAUGAAAGUGUGGCUAAUACGGGAUAUUCUGGGUCUGUCGCAUGAUGGGUCUGGGAAAGAUAUUGUUUCGGUGGGGGAUGGGCUCGCGGCCUAUCAGCUUGUUGGUGGGGUGAUGGCCUACCAAGGCGGUGACGGGUAGCCGGCCUGAGAGGGUGGACGGGCACACUGGGACGGAGACACGGCCCAGACUCCUACGGGAGGCAGCAGUGGGGAAUAUUGCACAAUGGGCGCAAGACUGAUGCAGCGACGCCGCGUGCGGGAUGGAGGCCUUCGGGUUGUGAACCUCUUUCGCCAGUGAAGCAGGCCUGCCUCGUUUGUGGGUGGGUUGACGGUAGCUGGAGAAGAAGCGCCGGCUAACUACGUG